rnacentral:rRNA from 1 species
UUGGAGGGCAAGUCUGGUGCCAGCAGCCGCGGUAAUUCCAGCUCCAAUAGCGUAUAUUAAAGUUGUUGCAGUUAAAAAGCUCGUAGUUGAAUUUCGGGAUUAAUUUAUCGGUCGUGCUUUUGUACGUACUGGUAUUAUUGAUUCCUACCUUCUGACGAACCAUGAUGUCAUUAAUUUGGUGUCUUGGGGAAUCAGGACUGUUACUUUGAAAAAAUUAGAGUGUUUAAAGCAGGCUCACGCUUGAAUACAUUAGCAUGGAAUAACGAAAUAGGACGUUUGAUUCUAUUUUGUUGGUUUCUAGGAUCGACGUAAUGAUUAAUAGGGAUAGUUGGGGGCAUUAGUAUUCAAUUGUCAGAGGUWAAWUSMWAWYKUUUAUUGAAGACUAACUACUGCGAAAGCAUUUGCCAAGGAUGUUUUCAUUAAUCAAGAACGAAAGUUAGGGGAUCGAAGACGAUCAGAUACCGUCGUAGUCUUAACCAUAAACUAUGCCGACUAGGGAUCGGAUGAUGUUAAUUUUUUAAUGACUWAUUCGGCGCCUUACGGGAAAC